UUUUUUAGGGCAUUUGAAUGCUUUAUUUCUGUAUCCUGCUGUCUUCUCUUUAUUCAGUAGUACUACUAAUGCCAAACCCCUGCAGGUCUUUAUCAUUGGCAUGCAGAACUUCUGAAGUUUUAACAUUUUGGCAGAAGACCCUCUGGCUUACAUUUCAUGGGGACGCUGCCUCUUCUUCUUCCACUUUCCUUUUAUGCGGGGGCAGAUUCUACAACAACAUGACUAAAUGCAUUCAACUUCAAAGCCGAAAAAAAAUUCACGCAAGUAAAAAGGAUACUGGAAGGAUCAUGUGCGGAGGUUAUCUGGGAAUUGUAGAACAUUUUGCUGAAUCAGAACCAACAGGGGCUGCAAUGACCCAUAAGACACCUAUGGGGGCAGUAUUGCUGUAUCACGUGCUGCAAUGUCCUCCUUCACACAUUCACAGCGGCUGCAAGUUGCUGUCAAAAAGUGGGGCUGCAGUGCCCCUGAUUAUGAUGUAUCCAGUGCCACAGCAGACCACCUAAAGCAUGCUGCUGGGCAUUAUGGCGAUGGAGGCUACAGUACCUCAAAAUAAUUAAAGGACACCAUUGUUUUAAAUAUUUUUUUUUGCCAAUUUUGUCUUUUCCAUUCAAUAACAUGACCCUAAG